GCCGGGUUAGCUCAGCUGGUAGAGCACCUGAUUUGUAAUCAGGGGGUCGCGGGUUCGAACCCUGCACCCGGCACCA
rnacentral:tRNA from 1 species